UAUAGUCUAUUUUCAUAUAAACUGUUAAUUAUAACAAUAUAAAUAUUUAUAUAACAUUUUAACAAUUUAUUCAUCAUUAAUCGCCAUACACUGACUAAGAAAUAUUCGCUGCGCGACAGAAGAUCGCGGGCGCGGGACUGUUAUUGUAAACAAAUAUGGCGGAAAAUCGAAAGAAUUUUCUUGCAUAACACUAGAAAGACCCGUUUGAUCGGACAUUAUUCACAAAGCAUCACAAGUAGCUUUAUAUUCUGUCAGUUUUAAAAACUGCAGAACGGGUGCAUGUAAUCUUACACAGUUUGAUGGUUUUUAACGAACAAUUUUUCACUUAUUUUGGUGGGCUGAAUGAUUGGAUUGUUCCAGGAGAUUUAAUGAAUUUACAGAGAAUAUCCAGUCAUUGGCUUAGUUUACACAGAAUAUCCAAUCAUUGACUUAGUUUACACAGAAUAUGUAAGUUGUUUCGAUGGUAUUUAGUAAUUGAACGUUAAUAUACAGGUCAUAUUGCUACGGCAUACAAUUACUGUUUACUACAGAGCGACGUUUCUACUAGACUUCUCUAGUCAUUAUCAAGCAAUGAU